rnacentral:rRNA from 1 species
CAGAGGGUGCAAGCGUUAAUCGGAAUUACUGGGCGUAAAGCGCGCGUAGGCGGUUACGUAAGUUGGAUGUGAAAUCCCCGGGCUCAACCUGGGAAUUGCAUUCAAAACUGCGUGGCUAGAGUGUGGGAGAGGAAGGUAGAAUUCCAGGUGUAGCGGUGAAAUGCGUAGAUAUCUGGAGGAAUACCGAUGGCGAAGGCAGCCUUCUGGCCUAACACUGACGCUGAGGUGCGAAAGCAUGGGAGCAAACAGGAUU